GUGGCUGUGUUCUGGUGGCAUUUCUGUCGUCCUCUUUUUGUUUUAUCUUGUCAUCUUUAACAGCAUCCAUUGUAUCAGUCAGUGGUUCUGUGAACGUCCUGGAAGUAUUUAGCAGGUUGUAAAAUAUCAAAACUUACUGUUCACUGUUGGCUCUGAUUGUUCUCUGUAGUGAAAGUUCUCUGAGUCACCCUCUCCAGGACAAACUGGCCAACAGUAAGAAAAGGUUGGUGGUGCAUGGUGAGGUGGGCUGGAAAAAAAAAAUUCCAUAAAUUUCUCUUAUAGAACCAAUGGUUCUAAGCUCUCUCUGGUGCAGAAAUAUAUUUGUCAGCGAAAAACAUGUAACAUUUCAUAUGGUGUCUCACCAUUUGUAUCAUCAGGUAUGUUGUGAAUGCUCAUCUGUGUUUUCCCAGUAUUUUCCAUAUUGGACCACUAACUAUGAAAUAUUAAAG